AUGGAGCCACUACAGAAUGGAGAAGCCGCAUACCAUGAUCCUGAUGAAGAAGCUAUAAUAUUUAUAGAUCAGGAUGUUGCUCUCGAGUCGUACCAGCUUGGACGCCAGAAUGCACAAGCAGGACCUGUAGCAGUGAUUGAUGAAUUCAUAUACCGAAACCUACCUACAAAGCACCAUGUCCUAAAAAAGGUUGCAGACUGCCUUCACUGUGGGGCUUUGCGGUUUCCAUUCGAGGGGCCAGCAUUUUGUUGCAGAAAAGGAAAAGUAUCGGUCAUCAUUUCUUAUUCUUCAAUUCUUAUUGUGUCAAUCAUUAUGAGUCCAGCCAGCACACUGAUAUUUAUGUUGUCAAUCUGUAGAGGACAACGAUGA
rnacentral:rRNA from 1 species